UUUGUGUUCUACUGAAGAAACAAAGUCACCUACAUCUUGGAAGCCCUUGGGGCCUGCUUUCCCAGGGAAAGAUGAUGAAGGGAAUGAAAAUAAGGAAAAAAUGAAAAACAGAAGAAUAAAAGAGCUACAGCUCAAAAAUCUCAACACAAACUGUUCCUACUGCGCUGCUACAUGGCCUACUGUUCUACCACCUAAGAGACAAGGCAAGAGAGAGCGAGGGCAAGAGAGGAGAAGAGGAAAGAGUCCCAGAGAAGGACAUGCCGAUUCCACCCAAGAGAACAACACUGGAAGAAAGAAUAGCGAAGGAGAGAUUGGAUGACAGAGUUCCAGCAGAGAAAAUAAAUGAAGAAUUUAGGUAGAGUGUUGACUUUUUACUCAACAAGAGCGAUGGAUAGUUAGUUAGAAAUACAGAAGGAAUGGACAAAAUCGGGGAGAGACCAGAAGCAGAGUUUCUAUUGAUGUAGUGAAAUGAUACUAUAUGUGUGUGUAUGCAUGUACAUAUGAACAAGAAAUAACGUGUGUGAUUUCUGUUCCACUCGCAACACCAAACAGAACUGCUAAAACAAUGAUUGUUUUCAAACAUGUUUUCCAAACACUCACCCGUUCUGUCAUUGGUCAGUCAAACGGAUGGCCCCGCCCUAAACUCAUGCUAUUUGUUGAGUCACUGUUGCUGUGUUAGGCUGGUCGGAUUUCAUAAACAAACUGAAAUGUUUUGUCCGCAUUUAUCUAAUUUGAAAGAAACCAGCCUAACAAUGGCAUAUGUAUAAUUGCCACUUCAAUUAAACUUCAGCUUUAAUGUG